AACGCACAUUGCGCCCGCCAGUAUUCUGGCGGGCAUGCCUGUUCGAGCGUCAUUUCAACCCUCAAGCCCCCGGGCUUGGCGUUGGGGAUCGGCAGCUAACCGGCGCCUUCGCGGGCGUCCGGGGCCGUCCCCCAAAUCCAUCGGCGGUCACGCCGCGGCGUCCCCUGCGUAGUACUGCACCUCGCACCGGACCGCGGCCUGGCCACGCCGUAAAACCCCCGACUUUUAUCGUGGUUGACCUCGAAUCAGGUAGGACUACCCGCUGAACUUAA
rnacentral:misc_RNA from 1 species